GUUUGAUCCUGGCUCAGGAUGAACGCUGGCGGCGUGCUUAACACAUGCAAGUCGAACGGAAAGGCCAGUGCUUGCACUGGUACUCGAGUGGCGAACGGGUGAGUAACACGUGGGUGAUCUGCCCUGCACUUCGGGAUAAGCCUGGGAAACUGGGUCUAAUACCGGAUAGGACCACAUUUUGGAUGGUGUGGUGGAAAGUUUUUCGGUGUGGGAUGAGCUCG
rnacentral:rRNA from 1 species